rnacentral:rRNA from 1 species
UACGAAGGUGGCGAAUGUUGCUCGGAUUCACUGGGCGUAAAGCGUCGGUAGGAGGCUGUUUUAAGUUAGGUGUGAAAGCCCCGUGCUCAACAUGGGAAUUGCACUUAAAAACUAGACGGCUAGAAGGUAUGAGAGGAUGGCGGAAUAACUGGUGUAGAGGUAAAAAUUCAUAGAUAUCAGUUGGAACACCCAUGGCGAAGGCAGCUAUCUGGCAUAUUCUUGACUCUGAGCGACGACAGCGUGGGGAGCAAACAGG